rnacentral:rRNA from 1 species
UGAUGCAGCCAUGCCGCGUGUGUGAAGAAGGCCUUCGGGUUGUAAAGCACUUUCAGUUGUGAGGAAAAGUUAGUAGUUAAUACCUGCUAACCGUGACGUUAACAACAGAAGAAGCACCGGCUAACUCCGUGCCAGCAGCCGCGGUAAUACGGAGGGUGCGAGCGUUAAUCGGAAUUACUGGGCGUAAAGCGCACGCAGGCGGUUUGUUAAGCUAGAUGUGAAAGCCCCGGGCUCAACCUGGGAUGGUCAUUUAGAACUGGCAGACUAGAGUCUUGGAGAGGGGAGUGGAAUUCCAGGUGUAGCGGUGAAAUGCGUAGAUAUCUGGAGGAACAUCAGUGGCGAAGGCGACUCCCUGGCCAAAGACUGACGCUCAUGUGCGAAAGUGUGGGUAGCGAACAGGAUUAGAUACCCUGGUAGUCCACACCGUAAACGCUGUCUACUAGCUGUUUGUGACUUUAAGUCGUGAGUAGCGAAGCUAACGCGCUAAGUAGACCGCCUGGGGAGUACGGCCGCAAGGUUAAAACUCAAAUGAAUUGACGGGGGCCCGCACAAGCGGUGGAGCAUGUGGUUUAAUUCGAUGCAACGCGAAGAACCUUACCUACACUUGACAUGCAGAGAACUUUCUAGAGAUAGAUUGGUGCCUUCGGGAACUCUGACACAGGUGCUG